rnacentral:tRNA from 1 species
GGGGAUGUGGCUCAGUGGCAGAGCCCUUGCCUUGCACACACAAGGCCCUGGAUUCAAUUCCCUAGCGUCACCU